UUGACCUCAAAUCAGGUAGGACUACCCGCUGAACUUAAGCAUAUCAAUAAGCGGAGGAAAAGAAACUAACAAGGAUUCCCCUAGUAACUGCGAGUGAAGAGGGAAAAGCUCAAAUUUAAAAUCUGGCAGCUUCGCUGUCCGAGUUGUAACUAGA
rnacentral:rRNA from 1 species